GCUUAGAAAAUUCUGAAAAAUUUAUGUACUAACCCCCGUGUUAUGGGCUUCGUGUAGGUAUCCUCGAUUCGCGGAAAUUCGACAGUUGACCGGGUCUGCAAAUUUCGGGCCAGACAGACCCGUUACCGGAAAAGUCUCCGAAUUGGACCGAGGUUUUGGCUAGCCCCCCAUUGUCAGACGUCCCGAGCGCGUUCCCGAAGUCGGAAUCGGCAAAGGUGAGCCGGGACAGCCUUCUUCCUCCGCCCAGCCGCCACAGUAAUUUGUCGUCAAGUUUGCCACAGGAGGAUAUUUUGUUCAGGGUUAACCUGCUUUUCUACUUCGC